rnacentral:lncRNA from 10 species
CAGGGCAGGGUUCACAGAGCUAUUUUCAGUUCUCUUGCAGGAUCUCCUUCCCAGCCUUCAGAAAUUGCCGGUCUGGGAGUUGGGGGCAAGGAGAAGAUCCUGCAACCCAGUGAUUCCAUGGAAAGCAGAAAGAAGGACAUAAAGAAACGGAUACUUGGUGACAUCUUUGACUCACUGGAUCAAACCUUGCCUGAAGCUCACAUUUCUGAAAUUUCCAGAUACAAGAACAAAUACUUCCUCUUUAUUGUUUUACUAGAUUUGAGACAAGCUUUAAGUUUCUCAGACUCUUCCUCUUCCUAACAGAUUUAUCAGAAGCUGAAAGCUCUGAUCUUGUUGGGAUGCGGAUCGUGUCAGGAGAAGGCUUACUUUGCACGCUUUUCUUAGUCUGGUUGCCUAACUCAAGAACCUCGGCAUGGCUCUGUUACUUCUCUACUCAGACAAGCAUCCCUGCAGACACUCACUAGGCUAACUCUGUCUUUAUUUUUAGAAUUAGACCUUUACGAGAAGCACAGUUUUGUCUUCAGUUUCCUCUCCCCCCACCCGGAAUGGCCUGAGCCGAAGCCAGCUCCCUCCGAGAAGUCAUUACCGCCUGAUGCUGGCUCCCCGUCCCCUGUCCACCAUGAGUCAAAGCAAUGUGAGUCCCUCACCAGAUGCAACUGCCCAGUCUUGGACUUUCCAGUGACCAGAAUCAUGAGCCAAAUAAACCUCUUUUCUUUAUGAAUUACCCAGCCUCAAGUAUUCUGUUAUAGCAAAACAAAACAGACAAAGACAGUUUACCUACUUACUUACUAACUCAGGAAAUAUUUUUGAGCAUCUAUUAUGUGGAUUACACCACAAAAGGAUGAACAAUGCAGACAUCAUCUUUGCUGUAAAAGAGCUCAUGGGCCAGCAGUCAAGAUAGAUAUUGAACAAGUGAAAGUCUGGUUAGAUGCACAACUUAAUGUCUGAAAUUCUCCAAUGGAUCUCCUGAAUGUGUUCUAUUUCGUAAAGGACUUGUUAGGAAUGCCUUCAUUUAACCUCUGGGCUUAGCCGCAUCCACUGGAUUUGUCCAUCUGUUGGGUGAGAUUGACUUUCUGUGGCUUGGUAAUCCUUGGGUUCCAG